AUACGUAGGGGACGAGCGUUGUCCGGAAUUACUGGGCGUAAAGGGCGCGCAGGCGGAUAUUUAAGUCAGCUGUAAAAGGCAUGAGCUCAACUCAUGUAUGCGGUUGAAACUGGGUAUCUAGAGUGCUGGAGAGGUAGGCGGAAUACCCGGUGUAGCGGUGAAAUGCGUAGAUAUCGGGAAGAACACCAGUGGCGAAGGCGGCUUACUGGCCAGCAACUGACGCUGAGGCGCGAAAGCCAGGGGAGCGAACGGGAUUAGAAGCCCCGGUAGUCCUGGCCGUAAACGAUGAAUGCUAGGUGUGGGUGUCGAGAGGCAUCCGUGCCGGAGUUAACGCGAUAAGCAAUCCGCCUGGGGAGUACGAUCGCAAGAUUGAAACUCAAAUGAAUUGACGGGG
rnacentral:rRNA from 1 species